CGGAACCAAAUGGUGGUUCCUCUACUUAAGUGGAGCCUGCACCUCAACAUUGCCAUUCAACAAAAAACUAACAAAUGUGUAGCAUUCUCUCUUAAGUAGUUUUGAUCCACAAGCGGUCUAAACUUUUGAGCAAAUACAUUGAUCUGCCUUCAAGAGUAAUAAUGCUCAACAAAUGGAGUGUAAUGAGCAGUCCAUGUUUUACUUUUAUUUUUAUUAUUUUUAAAAUUAACAGUUUUUAAUUUUUUUUUAACUUUUAUUAUUUACCGAGUUCAUCUUUAACUGAUCUAUAUUAUAAUUAUUUUUAUAUUUCAAUUCAAUUUAAUACUUGUGAAAAAAAGCUAAUUGGUAAAUUUAAAAAUCAAUAUAAAAUGUCUUUUUUAAAAUAGAUAAUUUGAAUUAGUUAUGACAAUCUAUUUGAUUUAUUUGCUUAUAAUUGUAAAUGAAUUCAUAAAUAAAUAUUUU
rnacentral:lncRNA from 1 species